GGCAGCUACAUACCCUAGCAAGUUCGGCGUCUCCGGUCGCAUUUGUGGUGCUACGCGACGAUCGUCGGCCCUGUUACUGUAGGUUUGUCGCUACCCUUCUUUCCUUAGCUCUCCUCGCCAGCGCUUGAGGGCUUCGUCCCCAGAUCUUCUCGAGGAAGGAUCCUGGUCUGGUCUUCUUUAUCCUUCAUCUGCUCCAUAGGAUGCUGGUAACAUCUUUCAUGUAAAUCCUCUUGGGCUUUUGGCAAGAGACCAGCAGUCUUCUACAUUCAAUGGAAAACCGGAGAUCCUUUACUCAAGGAACAAAUUGAAAAAAUCUGGCAGCUUUCUUUGAGUUCUUCUUUACGGGUACAUUUUCGUUUGGAUGAUCUAGCAUAAACAUUACCCGGAAAUGCAUCAUAGAUUUGCAUUUAGCAGAUAACGACACCAUUGGAUUAAUUGGCAGGACGCAUAUCUUGAUCAUUCGUACAUUCUCCUCUUGGUUGGGGUUCAUUCGCGUCUGUUUCCUUGAAAAACCUACGCCAUCAACGGUUUUGUUAUGUGGUUGCUGAAAUGGUCGCCUCUAUUUGACACAAAUGAGGAAUCCCCGAUCGUUCUCAUCUGAAUUUCUUUCCCCAAGCUAGAAUUCAAUUUAUGAACCAAGCUGCCCUAUUUCCUCUUGCUUUAACUAUGGACCUUGUUAAAGAGCCAUCAGAUCAAGAGAAGUCAGCGGGAAUGCUAGAUAAUAAAAUUUAGAGCCACAGUUUCAUUACUUACAACGAAAUACCUCUCCCAUUCAUGUGGUAGUAAGGAAAGAAAGAGUCCACUAAUUCGUCUCUUGGCAUCAAUCAAUACACUUUAAAUGGAUCAAACCGGCGAAUCUACUCGAUUAUUUAUUUUAUUUUUUUAAAUCAUGUAUCUUUGUGCAUAAAUAUUCAUCGUGAGAAUAAACAAUUUAAGUUUUCUUAUUCACUUCUUAUUUUCUAUAUGGAAUCAGAGUAAUGUUAGGGUUAUAUUUUUCCAAACUUGCUUCUUCUCUCGUUUAUUAUUUAUUCUUUUAAUUAUAUCAUGUUUCUUUGACUUAUCUUUUAAGGUGUCAACUAUCAUAAAGGAUGAAAACUAAAUUAAAAAAAAAAGCUUUAAAGGGAUACAUGCCUCAUAUAGCUUGAAUGGAAUAAACUAUCUAAAGCAAUCAAAAAGUAUGAAAAUCUUCGUAAGAGAAAACAAAAAAUUCCAUCAUCUUUUAGAUCAACCUCUAGAUUCGAAAGAUCCAUGUUUAUAUUUAAUGAUUAAGCAAAUUUUAUGAUCAUAAUAUAUUCAUGGAACACCAUAAUGCCUUCAAUAAGUGGGUCAUACAUGUUCCUAACAAUUGUAAAGAUAUUUGGGACUCUGUCAAAUAGAUAGAUUUAAAAGUUAAGGAUAUUGCUCUGAUAUUUGAGAUUAAAAUUAAGAUAUCAACAAUCAAGUAAUUUAACCUACAUAUUAUUGAAAAUUUUAAUACAUUGGAUGUUUAUUAGCUUGAUUUAGGAUAUUACUAAGAUCUCAAGGUGAACUGUAGCAAUGAUUUGAUGAUUCUCAAAUAGUUUGUUGAAAGACAAAAGGUUCUUGAGUUUCUUACAUGACUUAGUAAACGAUUCGAUCAAAUUCAUAUUAAAAUUUUAAUUAGAGAAGUCUUUACAGUAGUGCUGCAAAUGAAAAGAGCAUUCGAUAAGCUACUUGUGGCUCGACUUGAUUACAACUCGUUCAUGAUCAUUUGUUUAAGUAAUCAAACAAGCUUGAACAAUUUUUGAAAUACUCGACUGUUAAAUAAACAAACUUGAAUAGUUAUGCAUUUGACUUGAGUUUAGGUAAUUCUAUGUUAGUAGGCUCGAUAAGGCUCAUUUGUUUAAAACUCGAUAAACAUAAAUGAAUUAAACAUGAACAUCUAUUCUUUUAAAUGAACAAAGCUUGAACACAAAUAAAAAAGCUUGAAUUGAGCUCGAACCAAGCUUGAACAAUCUAAUAAUAAAUAAGCUCAAAUAUGAACAAGCACAUAUUCUGCUCGGCUCGGUUCAUUUGCAGCCGUACUUCUCAGUCAUAUGAGCCAAAUAAGGAAGGAGGUUGAUAGUGCUUGAAAACUCUAUUUAUGAUACCAAUUAUAGUGCUCCAGAUUCUAAUUUGAAAAAAAUAUUCUUUUAUCUUUUAAUUUACACAAACAGAGCUAUCUAAUUUUUUUAUCAAUAUAAAUAACAAAAAUAAAACUAUCGAUCAAAACAUUAAAAUAUAACCGGCAAAUGCUCCGACUAUCAUAUUUGAUUCUUAAAUCUAACGAUCUGAGAAUGCUUUGCGGGUUAAAUAUUUAAGUUUCAUCAUCCUCCUUGAAAGGACUGGAGUCGAUCUGAUUUGAAUUAAUAAAUGUCUAAUCUCAAUCAUAAAGGUUUCUAAAUGAAAUUCAUCAUAAAACACUAAUAUUAGAUUUUAACAUUCGUAUAAUCGUCAAUUAUUAAACCCAAUCCUUUGUCAGUGGGUGAACAAAGUUGGCAAGGUUCCAACAACCAAUCUUCAAAAAACCACAAUGAUGGCCCUGUUGAAAGGAAAUCUCAACCGGAGGAGAUCUUAUUUUCAGCAUAUUUAAACCUCAAUACAAAAUAUAGAUAUACAAUGACUUUAAAUGAUGGUCAUGUUGACAAAUAAUCUCAACCAGAGGGGUCAAAUCUUAAAACCAGUAAAAGUUUGAAUUUUUAAAAUGAAAUUUAUCACUUAAAAACUUAAAACUAAAACCAUUCACCUUCUGCGACAGUUUGUCAAGGGUGAUAAAUUUGAAAUUAACCUCAGCUCACAAAGAGCAAAUGUCAUGUCAGGUGUAAAGCUAAGGUUCAUCCUCAAAUAGCCUCUUGCUAGCAGGGACGUAACACAUGUCCUCUGAUCGAGUAGUUUUGCAGCAAAAUGACACCAUUAUAUUACAAUCACGGUCAAAGCUCAUACGUUCCUUAAUGACGUCAAACUCUUGAGUAAUGAAUCAUAGGGUAUAUUCGAUAGACACAAAUCCUUUUUUGUCAGCUAAAGUGGAUUCAAAUGUACCCCCUUAGACAAAUACCACACUAGGUCUACAAGGUAUUUUUGGACGAAGCAACCCAUGAUUGCCGAUAAGGUGCCUUCUGUCAGGUUGGGUCGACUACCUCCUCUAACUAAGUAGACUAGGGACCAUGACAAUUGACAGCCUAGGACUACGGAAUCAUGAGAUCUUGAUUGGGCUUAUCUUCGUUACCCCCAUCACCUGUUUUAAGUAUAUGGUAAUAAAGUUAAAAAUUCAAACUCAAACUCAAACCUUAAAAUUGUUGCUAUUAUACGCUGGAUUUGCAACCUAUUUGACCUAUCUUAUGACUAGCCUUAAUCGAAAGUUCUCUCUCGUUAUUGGGAUGGGUAAUUAACUAUAGGGGCUUGCGCCUAUAGGAAACCAGAACUCAGAUCGUAAAUUCCUCACAAAAUGAGGGCGAAAUCUCUUAGUAGUAUCUUAUCUAAAACCCAAUCUUCCUUCUGAAAAUUUACCCCAAAAUCUAAACUCGUUAAAACCCUCCCCAUCAACAAACAAGAAAGAGAUGGUGCGGAGAGGCCGGGGCGCAAAAUUUUCGGACCACGAUGUUGAGUUCAAAUGGACUUAAGAGGAAAUGAUGUAGCACAUUAUGUGUAUAAAAAAAAUAAUCUAAAUGUCCAAUUAUAAGAUCCCAAGCGGAGUCUAGUCAGGGUCCAUCACAAGAGCCUACUAAAAAAAAUAAUUUUAAUAAUUAAAUUUCAAAUUUAGGAUUUAGAAGUUUGCCUUUUUUGUUUUGAGGAAUAUGUAUGGGUUGGUCAAUUAAUGAACUAUGGAAGAGAAAAUAAAUUAUUGGUAGUUGUUACCCUCCUCUAGUAAUGACCACCCGCAUUGUUUCUUUCUAAAAUCUAUUUCUUCUUUUUGAAUGAUAAUAGUCUAAUAGUCAUAGUAAACUCUAUUAUUAGUGCUUGUAUUUAAUAUAAACUUUCUUGUUUGAUUAAUAGAAAAAAUUUGGAGAAAGUUAUUUUCUUGUGGUUAGAUGGGUCAUACUCAAUCAUCUUUGGUGAGAGUAGGUCUUCUAAAUCUUUCUAACAACUUCUCCUGCUUUCUAAUUAUCUCCCAAGACUAGCCAAUUAACCCAAGCCACCAAAUUCCUCCUUGAAGCUAUCGAUCAAGACUAGGUGCACUCUUGUCUGGUCUUAUAUUCCUCCUCUCCAUCAGCCCUCAAACCUUAUAAAAUGUCUCCAAAACCUUUAGAUCAUAACUUCAUACCCUAACUAAUCAUUCACAUCCAUUUCCCUCCAUUUAACCUUCAUUAAACUUGUUAUUGAAGGAGCAAAAUCAAAUCAGUCCAAAUUAGCUCAAGCAGGUUAAUCUUGGCUCUCCACCAGCAUAUCCUCUUUAAAAGCCUUUUCAUUCCACCAUAAAUUCUAGAUCAUACUUCACAUUAUAAACUAAUCAUGUACAUCCAUUUCCAAUCUCCAGUCUCAUCAUAAAGUCUUUUGACACCAUCCAAUUGCCCCAUUCUUCUAAUCAUGACGGUGUUAAAGCUCCACUGCCACCAAAAAACUACUUUCUUUACACGUAGAACAUGGCCACAUGUGAUAAAGGACAAGAGUGGCCAUCCAGUUUCACUUGGGUUGGCCAAUUUUGGGCAGUUUAGGCCUUAUCUCAAGCAGUCUAAGAGACUACGGACUUUGUGUACAUCAGAUCUUGUUUACACGUUUUAAUGUUUUUCUUAGUUUAUCUUGAGAUCAGUUGAUCAGCCAAAUCAAAUCAAAUUGGGCUCGAGUUCAGACCUUUUGCAUUAUCUUAAGAUGCCUGCUUUCCAUAAAAUAGGAGGAAUAAGAUCCAAAUCCAUUACAAAACUACUCAGAUUCUAUCCAAUCAAUCUAAUAACUUCAGGAACUUUACCUACUAUAUCAGCAAUGGUGCGGCCAUUAGUGAACCUUCCAUUGGGCAUUCCUCUACCGAAA